CCUCCAUUUGAACUUCGAUUAGCAUGAAACUUUGCAAAAUAGUAGCUUUGCAUGUCUAUUUCAAAUCUGGAAAGUUUUGCUUGAAAUCACUGAAAGACUAAUUGUUGGUGAAAUUUUCUUGCUUGUUACCAGUUUUCUGAAAUUUUCUCAAAACUUGCAGCUUAUUGUUACAAACAAUUGAUUUGAGAACCUUUACACUUGUUUUCUAUCCUCGAUCUUCAGUAAGUUAGAUUAGAGAUGCAAAUCAUUCCCUGAAACUUAACUUCAAUUCGAAAGGCUUAAAAAAGGUUUUGUCUUUCUUCGAAAGUGACUACAAACCAGUGUUUUCUAUGCAUUCUGAUCAGAACAUUCUGAUCAAUGCUUUCUUUUCGGAAUAAGCCCACACAUGGUGAAGGCUUGGAAUGGGUGCAAGGCGUUGUAGCUGCUAGCCAAGGAUCAAAUCGAAAAGUGGAAUUGAAGGACAUCAAAAUUGUUGUGGCACUGAUAGCAAUCGCUCCAAAUUUCAGCCCUUGUCUCUUCCUAAUGUCAAAAAGAGUGCAAAUGGAGAAGCAUAUCAAGACACUCAUUGUCCUAUCUCACUACUUGGAGGUGC